rnacentral:rRNA from 1 species
AUUGAACGCUGGCGGAAUGCUUUACACAUGCAAGUCGAACGGUAGAGGGGCAACCCUUGAGAGUGGCGAACGGGUGAGUAAUGUAUCGGAACAUGCCCAGUCGUGGGGGAUAACGUAGCGAAAGUUACGCUAAUACCGCAUACGAUCUAUGGAUGAAAGCGGGGGAUCGCAAGACCUCGCGCGAUUGGAGUGGCCGAUAUCAGAUUAGGUAGUUGGUGGGGUAAGGGCCUACCAAGCCGACGAUCUGUAGCUGGUCUGAGAGGACGACCAGCCACACUGGGACUGAGACACGGCCCAGACUCCUACGGGAGGCAGCAGUGGGGAAUUUUGGACAAUGGGCGCAAGCCUGAUCCAGCCAUUCCGCGUGCAGGAAGAAGGCCUUCGGGUUGUAAACUGCUUUUGUACGGAACGAAACGCGCUGAGCUAAUACCUCGGCGUAAUGACGGUACCGUAGGAAUAAGCACCGGCUAACUACGUGCCAGCCGCCGCGGUAACAC